rnacentral:snoRNA from 1 species
ACCGUCUGAAAAUUACCUCAGGUGUACCAGUUGCUUGGGGUGAGAUAACAGUGCCUACAGUAUUGUGGUACGUUAAGCUUAUUGCCUGCUCUGUAUGAUUAAACCCAUGUGCCCACAAUG